UGGCGAGUGGCGGACGGGUGAGGAAUACAUCGGAAUCUACCUUUUCGUGGGGGAUAACGUAGGGAAACUUACGCUAAUACCGCAUACGACCUUAGGGUGAAAGCGGAGGACCUUCGGGCUUCGCGCGGAUAGAUGAGCCGAUGUCGGAUUAGCUAGUUGGCGGGGUAAAGGCCCACCAAGGCGACGAUCCGUAGCUGGUCUGAGAGGAUGAUCAGCCACACUGGAACUGAGACACGGUCCAG
rnacentral:rRNA from 1 species